AAACCGCUUAGGGGUUAAACCCGAUGAACCUGAAUAUCUGAAUUGAGAAAUUCAAUAUUAUGUUUGUGAUUAUUAUUUUAAUUAUAAACUGAUAUGCACUUUUCUCAUAGUAGGACAUUGCGAUCCAUUAGUAUUUGCUAUAUUUUAUAUAUGCAAUUUAAUUUAUCAAACGGCCCGCAUGUUAUAAGCUUGUUCUAGCUGUAAUAGUUCUCUGAAUUAUUAUAUGAACAAAUUCGUUGUGGUGACCCGAUAAAUAGCUGAUGGAGCUUAAUAAUCAUGCAAACAUACAUAUGUAUCACGGUUUAAAUAUAUUAUAUAUUUGAAUGCAGAGAUGGCAUGUAUUUGAUUAGCAAUGCGAUAGAUUUGGGAUACCUUCGGGACCCGUCUUGAAACACGGACCAAGAAGUCUAACAUGUGUGCAAGUCAUUGGGUAUUGUUUUGUUGAAACCUAAAGGCGAAAUUAAAAUAACUAUAAUGGGAUUACAAGUGAUUUUUAUUAAAAUCGCUUCUCCAUCCCGGGGCGUUCUAUACGAACAUGAUUUAAGCAAUUAGAUCCUCUGUUCAAGAGCGUACCUUGAGCAUACAUGCUGUGACCCGAAAGAUGGUGAACUAUACCUGAUCAGGUUGAAGUCAGGGGAAACCCUGAUGGAGGACUGAAGCAGUUCUGACGUGCAAAUCGAUUGUCAGAAUUGGGUAUAGGGGCGAAAGACCAAUCGAACCAUCUAGUAGCUGGUUCCCUCCGAAGUUUCCCUCAGGAUAGCUGGUGCAAUAAGAAAUCUAAUAUAUAAUCUUAUCUGGUAAAGCGAAUGAUUAGAGGCCUUGGGGCCGAAACGACCUCAACCUAUUCUCAAACUUUAAAUGGGUAAGAACCUCAUCUUUCUUGAUCUGAAGAUAUAGAGGUUUAGAUAUAUUGUGCCCAGUGGGCCACUUUUGGUAAGCAGAACUGGCGCUGUGGGAUGAACCAAACGUGAUGUUACGGCGCCAAAAUUAAUGACUCAUAUUGAUACCAUGAAAGGCGUUGGUUGCUUAAAACAGCAGGACGGUGGACAUGGAAGUCGUAAUCCGCUAAGGAGUGUGUAACAACUCACCUGCCGAAGCAACUAGCCCUUAAAAUGGAUGGCGCUCAAGUCAUAUGCCUAUACAUCACCGCUAGGGUAAGAGAAUUUUGUUACAUUUAAUAAUUCAAAUUCAUGAAACCCUAGUGAGUAGGAGGGUACAAUGGUGUGCGCAGAAGUGUUUGGCGUGAGCCUGCAUGGAGCCGCCAUUGGCACAGAUCUUGGUGGUAGUAGCAAAUAAUCGAAUGAGAUCUUGGAGGACUGAAGUGGAGAAGGGUUUCGUGUGAACAGUGGUUGAUCACGAGUUAGUCGGUCCUAAGCUCUAUGCGAAAGCUGUUUAAUUUAUGUUUAGGAUAAGAGAAUUUUUUACAUUUAUGUAUUAAAUUUAUGAAAUCCUAGUGAGUAGGAGGGUACAAUGGUGUGCGCAGAAGUGUUUGGCG
rnacentral:rRNA from 1 species